rnacentral:rRNA from 1 species
AGCUAAUAGAUACCCGGGUAGUCCACGCCCUAAACGAUGUCUACUAGUUGUUGGUGGAGUAAAAUCCAUGAGUAAACGCAGCUAAACGCGUGAAGUAGACCGCCUGGGGAGUACGGUCGCAAGAUUAAAACUCAAAGGAAUUGACGGGGGCCCGCACAAGCGGUGGAUUAUGUGGAUUAAAUUCGAUGCAACGCGAAAAACCUUACCUGGCCUUGACAUGCCACUAACGAAGCAGAGAUGCAUUAGGUGCCCGUAAGGGAAAGUGGACACAGGUGCUGCAUGGCUGUCGUCAGCUCGUAUCGUGAGAUGUUGGGUUAAGUCCCGCAACGAGCGCAACCCUUGCCAUUAAUUGCCAUCAUUUAGUUGGGCACUUUAAUGGGACUGCCGGUGACAAACCGGAGGAAGGUGGGGAUGACGUCAAGUCCUCAUGGCCCUUAUGGCCAGGGCUUCACACGUAAUACAAUGGUCGGUACAGAGAGUUGCCAACCCGCGAGGGGAGCUAAUCUCAGAAAGCCGAUCGUAGUCCGGAUUGUUCUCUGC